UACAGGGGGUGCAAACGUUGCUCGGAAUCAUUGGGCGUAAAGCGCACGUAGGCGGUCUGUUAUGUCGGAUGUGAAAGCCCUCGGCUUAACUGAGGAAGUGCAUCCGAAACUGGCAGGCUAGAGUACUAAAGAGGGUCGCGGAAUUCCCGGUGUAGAGGUGAAAUUCGUAGAUAUCGGGAGGAACACCGGUGGCGAAGGCGGCGACCUGGGUAGAUACUGACGCUGAGGUGCGAAAGCGUGGGGAGCGAACAGG
rnacentral:rRNA from 1 species